rnacentral:rRNA from 1 species
AACGAACGCUGGCGGCAGGCUUAACACAUGCAAGUCGAACGCUCCGCAAGGAGAGUGGCAGACGGGUGAGUAACGCGUGGGAAUCUACCUGAUACUACGGAACAACAGAGGGAAACUUCUGCUAAUACCGUAUACGCCCUACGGGGGAAAGAUUUAUCGGUAUCAGAUGAGCCUGCGUAAGAUUAGCUAGUUGGUGGGGU